AGCGAACGUUUGCGGCGGGCCUAACAUAUGCAAGUCGAACGGGCUAGCAAUAGUCAGUGGCGCACGGGUGCGUAACACGUGGGUAAUCAACCCUUCAGCUCGGGAUAACGCCUUGAAAGGGGCGCUAAUACCGGAUGCGACGCGAGGAGCCUCGGCGCUUCGCGGGAAAGAUUCGCAAGGAUCACUGAAGGACGAGCCUGCGGCCCAUCAGCUAGUUGGUGAGGUAAGAGCUCACCAAGGCGAAGACGGGUAGCUGGUCUGAGAGGAUGAUCAGCCACACUGGAACUGAGACACGGUCCAGACUCCUACGGGAGGCAGCAGUGGGGAAUAUUGCGCAAUGGGCGAAAGCCUGACGCAGCCACGCCGCGUGAGCGAUGAAGGCC
rnacentral:rRNA from 1 species